GUCAUCAGGCCACUCCAUGGGCCCUGGGAGACCAUCAGCACACAGUUGGGCCCUUCCUCAGCAAGCAGCUCUGUGUUCUCAGCAGUAUGAGUAAGCAUUGAGGCCUCAAUAGUUGGCAAAAAGCAGAUCUUCCUGUGGGAAAAAUACUUUGAAUAAGGAAGAAAAAGGAGAUUUGUAUUAUAUAAGUUUGGCUGUCUCUAAUUUAAAGAAAGUUAAACUUUAUUGCACAACGACUACUAGUUCUUUCUUCUUCUUCUUCCUUCUCCUCCUCUUCCUUCUCCUUUUUCUGUCUCCUCCUACUUCUCCUUGUCCUUUUUCUCCUCCUCCUCCUCCUUCCCUUCUCCUCCUCCUCCUCUUUCUCCUUCCCUUCUCCUCCUUCUCCUCCUUCCUCUAUCUUUUUCUCCUCCUCCUUCUUCUCUUUCCUUUCUCCUUCUUCUCCUCCUCCUUCUCCCCCCCUUCUCUUUCUCCUCCUCCUUCUCCUUCUUUCUUCUCCUUCUUUUCUUCUCCUCCUCCUCCUUUUCUCCUCUCCUCCUCCUUUUUUCUUCUCCUUCUUCUCCUCCUCCUUCUCUUCCUUCUCAUUCUUCCCCUUCUUCUUUUCCUUCGUUUCCUCCCCCCCUCCACCUCCUCUCAAAUUUAGUUUUCCACGGAAUCCCCCAUCCUUUGGAAAUUUUUUUUUUGCUUAGUAUCUGUUCAUUUCUUCCAGAAUCAUAGUUUGGAAUUAAUGGACACAUAGUAGUUAAUCAGAUGAUAGAGAUUAAAGUGAAGGGAGGCAUACACUGGAAUAGCAAAAUAUGUUUGCAGUGAAACCCAAUGAAUAGAAUACUUCAUGUUAGGGUGAAGUAUUGGAGGAAAAACAAAUACUUUCAUUAAAAUCAAAGCUACUCUUCAGAAUUUCAUUAUUUUCUUUUAAUGAGAAAUGUAUGUGUUGGUCGUCUUGUCGUCUUUGACUCUUAAAAUGUAACCAAGCAAAUUUUAAACUACAUCUCUAAAGUGCCUAAGUGUGAUGCCUACGUUACCUUUAACUUAACUUCGUUAGUGGCAGAGGUUCCAUGAGUUAUGAGUACUCUGCUCUGUGAAUGUCUCCAUUUUUGAGGUGCCUUUGUGGAGUAUUGAUAGGGACCAUUCCUGGGCUCCACUUACAGACUUCUGUUGGGGAAUAGGAUCUCACAAAGCAGAACAGGAGUUUGUGAUAAGGAAGAGGACAAAGAGAGCAGGUCCUUGUGUUCUUCAAAAACGGUGAACAUUAUCCUACUGAUUUUGGACCAAGGGAGUUCUCCAGUGGGAAGUGACACAGAACCUACCACAGUGCCUUCCAAUCCAGGUUUUUGGUAAUGAGUGAUGAAUGAAUCCCAUGAGAGCAGAGCCCCGUGGAGCGGGUGGCAAAUGUUGCUCUCUGACUACAGUUCUCUCCUUAGGGAUGCUAACACAGACUGCCUCAGAUGCAGGCAGGGCUGCUUGUCCACACUGAUCAGGCAUGGAUUUGCAUUAACAUCUGUAGUGCCCUUUACUUGUGCAGUGAGAUACUGGGAUAUACAACAGAAUAGGUGCUGGAAGAGGCAUCCACUACAGUGUGGGCAGACUCUUUGGAUCUGUAUUAAUAACAGCCUCUCCCGUGGAUUAGCUAGUCCAGGCUUUGGUGCUUUAUUUCCUCCCAAAAUAAUGGAGUGUGUACUCCUUAGUUAUGUGUAGCACCAAGAAAAUUAAUCCAGAUGUCAUCUUUUUUGUUUCCCCCUCCAGCGUGGCUGGAUACUUGGCAGGGCACAGAAUCACAUGGUCUUCAGAUCUUCUAAAAGCUGAUUUUCCUGGGCCUAAUCCCAUGAGAGUUGGAGACAGUCUAUGAUAAUUACUGAUUCAGCUCCUGCUGGUGUUGAACUUACUGAGAAACUUAAACAAGAAUUAAAAUACACACCCACACACCCUCAGAUGGAGCCAAACACUAAACCAGAUUAGUCUUUCGUGGUCACCUUUUCUUCAGGAUUAGGAGGAUCAGAAAGCAAGAGCAGAUUCUGAAACACUGUAACCCCAUUCCCUACUGGGUCAUAAGAGGCUGGUGCUCUUGAGGACGAAGGUCGGCAGCAGGUGCCAACUAGGUACUGGCUUCUGGUCCCAGCAGAGCUGGCCUGCCACAGCCCAAGCGUCUUGUUUUGGUUAAAAAAUGAGUCUCUUGGCCUUUCAUGCCUGGGCGUUCUCCGGAACUCAGAUGUUUGUGAACCAGGUUCAGGGACUCUCAAGUUCAAGUCACUGGCAGAUUGGAGAAAAGACCUAGAAGUUCUAAGUGUCUGAGGUAAUGAGAGGAGGGACGCAAAGCCUCAUUCAAUGAGACUGCAAAGUCACCUGAAUGGGAAAGCUUGCCCUAUUGCUGGCCUCGGCAAUGGCACCUUCAGGUUGUCCCCUGUACGGGUUGAUGAGGGAGUGGAGGACCCCAGGUCCCUUCUUAAUGUCAGCCUUGGCCACAGGUUUCGAUGAAAUUUAGUAUGUUGAUUAGGAGCUGCCAAAAUCAGAGCAACUCCCCUCCCAAGGGGACGUUUAGUUUUCAGUUGUUAAAAAUACACCCUGAGACAGAAAUUUUGGGACACUUAAGUGACUUUGAAAUCCAUCCAAAGGUUACUCUGUUCCUUCACUCCACACAGCUCAGGCAUUUCCAUGUUGGUCUCAGCUGCCAUCUCAAUGGUUUAUUCUUUUUACAUGUUGGAGCAGAUCUGGACCUCCCAAAAUGUUUUGAGGAGAAGUGGGCUUAGAGGGGUUUUCCCUGCUCUGUGAGAGAAGGAAUUUAGCAAGGAUUAAUUUUUCUAAGAAGGUGGCACAAGUUUUGAUGUGAUUUGCUGGAAAAUAGUAAUAGUCACAAUUUAUCUUAUUCCCCCAAGAGAAUGGGAUGAUGUUCCCAUGGAACCUUGCUCAUCCUGCUAGCAAUAACUUGUAUUCUCUUUCUGAUUCACACAAACAAGGAUCAGAGGGUGAUGGUGGGGGAAAUGAUACCAGGAAAUACAGUUCGUUUUUUGCAGGGAUUCAGAAUGUGUUGCUGGACUUCAAGAUAGGAAGAAUCUUUGCCUUGAUGGCUGAUGACAGUAACCACCCCAUCUACCAUCAUCUAUUAAGGAUUUACUGUGUGGUCACUUUACAGUCAUCCAAGUAAAUUUUCAUAAUCACCUGAUUACAUGGGUACCGCUUUUCAGAAAAAGAAACAGAUUUCUGGAGGGAUUCAGAAUCCAUGGCUGGAAGAGGUAGUAAGGCCAUUGGGAGGGCAUGCCUCUCCUCAGCCCACCCCCACCCUGUGUGGGUCUCCAUUCUGAAAUUUCCAUUCAGCUGACAGAAGAGAGCUGCUACCUCACUUCAGCAAUGGAAAAUGUUGCUGUAAAUCCCAUUGGACCAGCCAGUUUCUCACGACCCUUUAAAACUGAAAACGGAUGACCCGGUCCUAGGCAGGGACCAAAAUUCCUUGUCAGCUGAGGAAGUCCUGAAGAAACAUCCUGAAGAUGAUGACUGCACUGCCAUCGUGGGCAGAUGCAGCUUCCAUCUACCUGAGGGCUGAAGGGGAAAACCUUUCACACACGUGAGGAAGGCGCAGCUCUGUGGAAAGGUCACUAGAAUGGCAGCGGCAGCAAAUAGGGCUCCAAUGCACGUUUGCAGUUAACUGGGUCCAAGGAGAGCAUGGCCCUCCACAGCAAGUUUGCUCUAUAGAAUAAAGUCCUGAGCUUGUUUUUAUCACAGUUAGACAGAGAAUGGUCUCUUGUUUCUCAGUUAUCCAGGGAAGAACAGUGUAUAUUCUCUGUAGAUGAGUGUUGUCUAAUGUAGUGAUUAAUCUCUGCUAGUGUUAGGAAAGCUCCACUACUGUGUGUGUGUGUGCGUGCAUGCGCGUGCGCAUGUGCACAUACUGCAGUCUUGACUUUCCAAUUACAAAAUGCCUAAGUCAGGUCACAUUGUCUUCUUCCAGCCAGUUUCUAAGGCAGGCAAUGGAAACAGGAGCCGAUGCCAAAUGGUCUAGAGGCAGAAGGGCUGCAUGCUUUGCAGGGCCAGCCCCAAGGCUGCCUUCCAGAGCUGCACUUUCUCUGGGGACAGUAAACUCUCACCGCAGCUGCCAGCCCCCUGUGCUUGGCCAUGCCCCUCACAUGGACUUGGAAUCAGUGUCUCUCUUGCUGAUGAGCACCUCCAGGAGCCUCAGUUUCGCCUUUAUGUGCUUAUAUUCACUGUAUUCUUCAGCCAUAGGAGUGCGGUCUUCCUUCUGGACAUUUCUAAUGCAAAUAAAGGAAAAAGGGGUCUGAGGAUCAUUUUCUGUCUUUGCUAGAUACUAUUCAUCGGGCAAAUUAUCAUUGUUUAGAAACUUUGCAGUUUAUCAACUUGUAGAAUCAGUGUUGCCGAGUGGCCCUUGGUCUCAAGACUGGGGCUGGAUUUAGACAAGUAAUGAAAAUGUUUCACCCAGAAGGCAACAUGCAACUGAGUUUUUAUAUAGUUAAUCUGGCAUCCUGUAUGAUAAGAAGGCUAAGAAAUGCAGAAAUUCUCUCUGCUAAGUAUGAAUUCACAUUGAGCUCUCAUACACCAAAAUCUUUUAUUCAUACUUAAUGUUUUCUCAUUCUUAUAUAUUUCAUCUCGUGAAAUUUUAAAUUUUUAAUUAGCAACUGGUCCACAACUUAGUUUUUUUUUUUUUUUUUUUUUCCAAAAACAGAUAGUUAAUACUCCUACUUAUCAUAAAACUGUGUUAGAAUUCAGCAGCUGGAUUACAUAAUACUAUUAUAAUAAGCCUUUAUUAUUGAGUAACUUUACAUACAUAAUAUUUAUAUGCACAAGUAUUUGAGAGCUUAUAGGUCAAGCCCUGUGCUAAGUACUUUGUACCCAUGAUCUGAUAGAACCCUUAUAACACCUUGAUGAGAUGCAGCCAUUUUCUACACACUACACAUGAUGAAACCAGCACAGGAAAUCAGAUAACUUGCCUGCUCUUGGCCACCACGCGGUGCGCUGCUGCUUUGUGUUUUAUGGGAAAUUGCACAUGGCAAACAUUCAACCAUAGGCUUCCUGCCUUUAUUAUUAAAGGGCAAAUAUGGGUAAGGAGGAUAGCAUGGGGCUUGAUUUGUUCAAUGACCUAAAAAUAAACUGAUCUUAUUCAUACCCUGCCUUGUUCUAGGAAAGGAUUCUAGUGGCUUCUCAGCAGAGGGCAGGGCAAGGAACAGGUGCUCAGGAAUUGGAGCAUCUGGCACGCAGGCCCCCACUGCACUCUGAGGGGCUUCACUCUCCUCAGACACGAAGUCAUGGAACCAGAGCUUAUCUCCUAAGUCCCUCAUAGUUCUAAACUUUUUUGACAAUUAAGUUAACGUCCUCCAUUGACAUUUUCUUAAAACCUGGGUGGUUUGCGUAAUUCUACAUGUAUAAGAUAUCUGUGCAUAAUGUGACUUAGAAUAAUAUAAAAAAGGAUAAGCCAAAAAAUAGGCUUAGAUGAAAGACUGGAAAGAUACACGUCAAAACAUUAAUUCUGACUUGUCUUUGGUUAUUAUUGUUUUGGGAAUUACUACUUAAAUUUGCUUACCUAUAUUUUCUAAAUACUGUGCAAUGGGUGGGAAAUGAAAAGCAAGUGUUUAGGUAUAAAAAUAUAUGAGACAUAUCCAAAUCAGAGAUCCUAAAAGUAAAUUCAUACAAUAAUUGUUAAACUAAACUGAAAUACAAUAUAUUUUAAAUGACAAAGUUAAUUUUUAUGGUGCUUUCAUUUCCCCAAACUUUCAAGAAGUAUAAAAGAGGACUCAAGAGAAACAAUACUUACAUAGCUUCAGUAAUCUGGGUUAAAUCCAAUUUAAAAUGAUAAAACCUAACUCCAAUGUAAGAGAUGCAAAUCUGUUCCUGGUUCUUUCCUCAGGCUCCUACUGUGACUUUCGGUAAGAUUUUUGUGUGCUGUUGCUUGUAAACAUGAAAGACUAAAUUGUGCCUUAAAAUUCACUGGCGAGAGGCAGCCCAUCAACCAGGUAGAUUUACUGCUUUUCUUUUCUUUGUUUUUUUUGAGACGAAGUCUUGCUCUGUAGCCCAGGCUGCAGUGCAGUGGCGUGAUCUCGGCUCACUGCAACCUUGGCCUCCCGGGUUCAAGUGAUUCUCUUGCCUCAGCCUCGAGUAGCUGGGAUUACAGGCCUGUGCUACUGCACCCGGCUAAUUUUUUGUAUUUUUAGUAGAGAUGGGGUUUCACCAUGUUGGUCAGGCUGGUCUUGAACUCCUUACCUCAUGUAAUCCACCCUCCUUGACCUCCCAAAGUGCUAGGAUUACAGGCGUGAGCCACCACGCCUGGCCGACUUACUGAUUUUCAUACAUAUUUUUCAUUUAAACUUGGCAAUUAUCACCUUCAUUUUUGAAAUGAGCUUGAAAAUCAGUAAUACUUAGAUCUCUCUUUCCCUUGUUUCUCUAGCUCCUUUUAUUUAGAAAUGAAGUCUCACUCUAUUGCCCAGAAUAGAGUGCAGUAGCAGACCACAGCUCCCUGCAGCCUCAAACUCCUGGGUUCAAGCAAUCCUCCUGCCUUAGCCUCCCAAGUAGCUAGAGCUACAGGUGUGCCACUACGGCCGCUUGGCUAACCUCUAGCUUCUUAAGAAAAAAGCGUUGGUGCCACCACCAGCGGGAAACGCAGCUUCCUGCUGCUCAUUGUAGAUAAGAAUUUGAUGGGACAGGUUCAUUUCAUAAAUGUCAGCUGAAUCUGCAUUAGUCUUGGGCAUUACCCAAAGAGCAUUUCUUCUGGGAGGUCCACACAAAUCCCAUCAUCUCACAGUCAACCUCUAAGUGUCCCUGGGCACAAACCCAAGGACCAGGUUACAGGGAGGAUGCAGAAGAGUCCCCCCUUUGAAGGCAUUCCACAGAUCUGACAGAAAAACAAGAG
rnacentral:lncRNA from 1 species